GACUCCUACGGGAGGCAGCAGUGGGGAAUUUUCCGCAAUGGGCGAAAGCUUGACGGAGCAAUCUCGCGUGAGGGAUGACGGCCUAUGGGUUGUAAACCUCUUUUUUCAGGGAGGAAUCAAUGACGUGUACCUGAAGAAUAAGCAUCGGCUAACUCCGUGCCAGCAGCCGCGGUAAU
rnacentral:rRNA from 1 species